AAACAUAGCAACAAUCUUAUUUACAUUCCCUAAACAUAAUACACAAACAUUACAUCCUGGGACGUAACAAUUAGCAGCUGAAUUUUUAGCAGCCAUUACUCCAAUACAAGGCUUUAUGGCUCCAACCCCCCCGGCCCCUGAGGACCCGUGUUCAGCAGUGAAAGCAGGGGCCUCUGGUGUUCGACCAGACCCUGGAAGACCUCUCUACUACAACGAGCCAUAUGUGCCAUCAAGUGGUCAAAACAGAUGCAGGAUUAAACCCCCAACUGAAGUCUGAAGCUGGACUCUUACACUUUUGACAUGUCUAGCCACUUUGCCACAAUGACAUUGUGCCAGAUUAUUGCAUAAAAAUGGAAGGAUUGUAAUUAA